rnacentral:rRNA from 1 species
GACGAACGCUGGCGGCGUGCUUAACACAUGCAAGUCGAACGGAAAGGCCUCAGCUUGCUGGGGUACUCGAGUGGCGAACGGGUGAGUAACACGUGGGUGAUCUGCCUUGCACUCUGGGAUAAGCUUGGGAAACUGGGUCUAAUACCGGAUAUGAACUGCCUUUAGUGUGGGGGUUGGAAAGUUUUUUCGGUGCAAGAUGAGCUCGCGGCCUAUCAGCUUGUUGGUGGGGUAAUGGCCUACCAAGGCGUCGACGGGUAGCCGGCCUGAGAGGGUGUACGGCCACAUUGGGACUGAGAUACGGCCCAGACGCCUACGGGAGGCAGCAGUGGGGAAUAUUGCACAAUGGGCGGAAGCCUGAUGCAGCGACGCCGCGUGGAGGAUGACGGCCUUCGGGUUGUAAACGCCUUUCGACAGGGACGAAGCUUUUUGUGACGGUACCUGUAGAAGAAGCACCGGCUAACUACGUG